rnacentral:misc_RNA from 1 species
UUGAGAAAGGAAACCUGAUCUACAAGAUUGAUGUUUUCCUGAACUCUAGCAUUUUCCGAAGUUGGAAAGACUCAAUAAUAGUUCUUCAGACUACUAAGUCUCAAUCACGCAUGUGCGAGGAACUGAAGUUGACCAGCCACUGCAUUGAUGCUGUAGCAUCCAGGGCUUCCGUUGAUGUUUCCAGGGUGGAUUGGUCCUAUACCUAUAAUCGUAAAAAGCUUCCAGAGGAGAAUGGAAAUGAUCCUAACUUGAAUGGAAUUAGAUGCCGCAUGGUGCCAAAAGAUUGGUGGGUUGAGGAUUUAUGUGAACUUGAAGUAGACCUAUAUAAGCGGGUGGUUAUCACCAUAAAAAACAAAGGGAUUGUUUCUUCUGAAGCUAUUGGAGAAGCUGCCAAAGCUUAUGCAUAUAGAAGGUUUCCAGGCUUUAAUAAAGGAGCCUUCCAAUUCAAUGAUGUCUCCAAAUGUCGCCCAAUAUUGGAUACGGUGGUAUGGCUAUUGCCCUCUGAGAAAGGUUGCGUCUCUUGUAGUUUCUUGUUUAAAUUGCUAAAAGCAUCAAUUUCACUAGACUCUGGAGAAACUGUGAAGGCAGAACUAGUCAAGAGAAUAGGACAGCAAUUGGAAGAAUCUUCUGUGAAUGAUCUUUUGAUUCGAGCGGCAGAUGGGGAAGGAACCAUGUAUGAUGCCCAUGUUGUACAGAAAAUACUAGAAGCGUUUAUGAUGAGAGAUAAGGAUUCUGAACCUCAGUUAGAAGAUGAAGAUGAAAUUCAGGAGGUCCGAAAGCCAGGGAUUUUAUCAGAAGCUUCAAAACUGAUGGUGGCAAAGCUAGUUGAUGGAUAUCUUACCGAAAUUGCAAGAGAUCCUAAUCUCCCUAUAUCAACAUUUGUUGGUCUGGCAGAGAUGGUAUCUAAUUUCCCUCGACCCGGUCAUGAUGGAAUUUAUCGCGCAAUUGAUAUGUACCUUAAGGAGCAUCCUGGAAUCAGCAAGAGUGAGAGGAAAAGAAUUUGUAAGCUGAUGGACUGCAAGAAGCUCUCUGUGGAUGCUUGUAUGCAUGCUGUCCAAAAUGAGAGGCUUCCCCUUCGUGUUGUUGUACAAGUGCUGUUUUUUGAGCAAGUCAGGGCUAACGCCUCAUCUGGAAGCAGUACUCCGGAUCUUCCAAAAGCAAUUAGGGACCUUAACAGUACUUCAUAUGGAAGCUCAAGAUCUGCAACAACUAAUACAGAAGAAGAUUGGGAUGCUGCAGCCUCUGCAGAAGAACUCAGGGCUUUGAGGGGAGAGUUGGCAGCCUUAAGAAUGGGAAAUGGAGGAACAAAUGACAAAGUCAAUGUUAUUGAUGCCAAGAGCCAUGCAGACAGGGCUGCCAUGAGUAAAAUGAAAGGUUUGCUCAUGUCAAAGAGGCUCUUUUCGAAAAUCUGGUCAAACAAAGGUGGACAAGGGGAGAAUAGUGGCUCAGAUUCGUCCGAGAGUCUUGGAUCUGCUAAUAACUUGGAAGAAGCUAAAUCUACACCUUCAAGAAAAGUAAGGCAUUCAGUUUCUUAGUUCUAACAGCUUUUAGGAAUGCAUUGUUGGUGGCCUUUUUUUGAACUUAAAAAUGAUGUUAGCAUAUGUCAAAAGACUAGUCAUCUUUCUCUGAAGUCUCUAGAAGAAAAUUGAAGGAUAUAGUAUUAACAAAAAGUUUGUAGGAUGAAAUGAAGCCCCUUUUAUGAGCCAAAAAAA